UCUCGGCUCCUUCUGGAACCUCUGUCAGGUUUAGCCUACUCGCCUCCACUCCAGCCUCCACUCCGGCCUCCAACAUGUCCAUCAGGGUGACCCAGAAGUCCUACAAGAUGUCCACCUCCGGCCCCCGGGCCUUCAGCAGCCGCUCCUACAGGAGCGGGCCUGGCUCCCGCAUCAGCUCCUCUGCCUUCUCCCGGGUGGGCGGCAGCAGCAGCAGCUUCCGGGGUGGCCUGAGCAGCAGCAUGAGUGUGGUCGGGAGCCACGGUGGUGGCACUGGGGGCUUGGGGGGCAUCACGGCUGUCUCAGUGAACCAGAGCCUGCUGAGCCCCCUUAAGCUGGAGGUGGACCCCAACAUCCAAGCUGUGCGCACCCAAGAGAAGGAGCAGAUCAAGACCCUCAACAACAAAUUUGCCUCCUUCAUUGACAAGGUGAGGCACCUGGAGCAGCAGAACAAAAUUCUGGAGACCAAGUGGAGCCUCCUACAGCAGCAGAAAACCACUCGGAGCAACACAGACAACAUGUUCGAGAGCUACAUCAGCAACCUCCAGCGGCAGCUGGACACCCUGGGCCAGGAGAAGCUGAAGCUGGAGGUGGAGCUUGGCAACAUGCAGGGGCUGGUGGAGGACUUCAAGAAUAAAUAUGAGGAGGAGAUCAAAGAGCGUGCAGACAUGGAGAAUGAAUUUGUCCUCAUCAAGAAGGAUGUGAGCAAGGUAGAGCUGGAGUCCCGCCUGGAAGGGCUGACCGACGAGAUCAGCUUCUUAAGGCAGCUGUAUGAAGAGGAGAUCCGUGAGCUGCAGUCCCAGAUCUCGGACACGUCGGUGGUGCUGUCCAUGGACAACAGCUGCUUCCUGGACCUGGACAGCAUCAUCACGGAGGUCAAGGCCCAGUACGAGGACAUCGCCAAUCGCAGCCGGGCUGAGGCCGAGACCAUGUACCAGAUCAAGUACGAGGAGCUGCAGACACUGGCUGGGAAGCACGGGGAUGACCUCCGUCGCACGAAGAUGGAGAUUUCUGAGAUGAACCGGAGCAUCAGCCGACUCCAGGCUGAGAUCGAGGCCCUCAAAAACCAGAGGGCUGCCCUGGAGGCGGCGAUUGCUGAUGCUGAGCAGCGCGGGGAGUUGGCCAUUAAGGACGUCAAUGCCAAGGUGGCUGAGCUGGAGGCCGCCCUGCAGCGAGCCAAGCAGAACAUGGCCCGGUGGCUGCGCGAGUACCAGGAGCUCAUGAACGUCAAGCUGGCCCUGGACAUCGAGAUUGCCACCUACCGCAAGCUGCUGGACGGCGAGGAGAGCCGGCUGGAGUCUGGGAUGCAGAACAUGAGUAUCCAUACUAAGACCACGAGUGGCUGCUCAGGUGGCCUGAGCUCGGCCUAUGGAGGCCUCACAAGCCCCGGCCUCAAAUAUGGCCUGAGCUCCUUCCAGUCCAGCUUUGGCCCUGCUGGUUCCUUCAGCCGCAGCGGCUCUUCCAAGGCUGUGGUCGUGAAGAAGAUCGAGACCCGUGACGGGAAGCUGGUGUCGGAGUCGUCUGAUGUCCUAUCCAAGUGAACAACCAUGGUGGUCCCUCCCAGCCUCCCUACUCUUGUGGCUGCCAUAGAGCCUUUGGG